rnacentral:lncRNA from 1 species
UUUUUGUCUAGUUAAUAUAGGUGAGAAAUGGCAACUUGCACUUAAUUUUAUUCAUGCCAUGUUGUAAUACUACAUUAUCUAAUAGAGCGUGCCUUUACAGAAUUUUUUAUGUUAAGACAUUUAAUUGACGAGUGGCCACAAAUUAUGGGCACCGGUCCUGCAGGAUUAUUGCUUAUUUUAUCCUGUGCCACAUUUUGUCUGGGAUAUUUCAAAAGGUUGCACUGAAGUUUGUUCAUACUGUUUUAUAAGAUUGUAGUGUCUAGUCAAGCCUGCCUUUGCAGUUUUGUUAAUGUUGAGAGAGCUUGGUGAAUCGUCACACAGUUAUCGGUACUAGCCUUGCAAGAUUAUUGCUCACUUAUUUCUGUGUCACAUUUUAUCUAGUCAAAAGAGCUAGGAUGUCCUCAAAAUGCCAAAGUUUGUUCACACUAUUGUGUAAUGUUACUGUAUGCAGUAUUUACUUUUUCUUGAGAUUGCUAGUUUUACUGUAAGACCAGCA